rnacentral:rRNA from 1 species
CACGCUGGCGGCAGGCCUAACACAUGCAAGUCGAACGGUAGCACAGAGAGCUUGCUCUCGGGUGACGAGUGGCGGACGGGUGAGUAAUGUCUGGGAAACUGCCUGAUGGAGGGGGAUAACUACUGGAAACGGUAGCUAAUACCGCAUAAYGUCGCAAGACCAAAGAGGGGGACCUUCGGGCCUCUUGCCAUCAGAUGUGCCCAGAUGGGAUUAGCUAGUAGGUGGGGUAACGGCUCACCUAGGCGACGAUCCCUAGCUGGUCUGAGAGGAUGACCAGCCACACUGGAACUGAGACACGGUCCAGACUCCUACGGGAGGCAGCAGUGGGGAAUAUUGCACAAUGGGCGCAAGCCUGAUGCACCAUGCCGCGUGUAUGAAGAAGGCCUUCGGGUUGUAAAGUACUUUCAGCGGGGAGGAAGGUGUUGUGUAAUAACCGCAGCAAUUGACGUUACCCGCAGAAGAAGCACCGGCUAACUCCGUGCCAGCAGCCGCGGUGCAAUACGGAGGGUGCAAGCGUUAAUCGGAAUUACUGGGCGUAAAGCGCACGCAGGCGGUCUGUCAAGUCGGAUUAGUGAAAUCCCCGGGCUCAACCUGGGAACUGCAUUCGAAACUGGCAGGCUGGAGUCUUGUAGAGGGGGGUAGAAUUCCAGGUGUAGCGGUGAAAUGCGUAGAGAUCUGGAGGAAUACCGGUGGCGAAGGCGGCCCCCUGGACAAAGACUGACGCUCAGGUGCGAAAGCGUGGGGAGCAAACAGGAUUAGAUACCCUGGUAGUCCACGCCGUAAACGAUGUCGAUUUGGAGGUUGUGCCCUUGAGGCGUGGCUUCCGGAGCUAACGCGUUAAAUCGACCGCCUGGGGAGUACGGCCGCAAGGUUAAAACUCAAAUGAAUUGACGGGGGCCCGCACAAGCGGUGGAGCAUGUGGUUUAAUUCGAUGCAACGCGAAGAACCUUACCUGGUCUUGACAUCCACAGAACUUUCCAGAGAUGGAUUGGUGCCUUCGGGAACUGUGAGACAGGUGCUGCAUGGCUGUCGUCAGCUCGUGUUGUGAAAUGUUGGGUUAAGUCCCGCAACGAGCGCAACCCUUAUCCUUUGUUGCCAGCGGUCCGGCCGGGAACUCAAAGGAGACUGCCAGUGAUAAACUGGAGGAAGGUGGGGAUGACGUCAAGUCAUCAUGGCCCUUACGACCAGGGCUACACACGUGCUACAAUGGCGCAUACAAAGG